rnacentral:lncRNA from 1 species
AUGACGGCAGCUCAGCAUCGAUCUGAAUGGUGGACGGUCGCGAAGGAGGAGGACGGAGGCGACGGAGUGUCAUAAAAGUGAUCAAGUGCUACUAAACGGCUGCUGUGCAGAACAACAGAGCUGGCAGAGCCGGGGUAACGGGCGCCAGAGAGAGAGGGAGCCAGGAGGACGAGCGGGGCUCCAGGCCUCACCGACGGUCCUGCAGCGCUCGCGUGCAGACAGCGAGUGCGUUUGGACGCAGUAAUUACACCUGACAACUGGCCUCCGAGGAAGAACCUCCACUGGUGUUUGUUGUUUGGAUGGAGGCAGAGCGAGAAGGUGUCGGAGCGGAAAGACAUGCGAGCGAAGGAGGAAAAGCUCGACGGAACCCGACAGCAAUAGGAAGCAUCCACAACAACCACCUCCCUGAGAAAAGACAUCUGAACAGCUGAAACUCAUCAAUGUCAUUUUAAGGAAAAUGUCCUUUGUUUUGUAUUCAACAUAUUUUGUCCCAAAAAACAACAACAAAAGAAAUAAAGAGCCAUAAAGAGAGAGGGUAGUGUGUCA